rnacentral:rRNA from 1 species
CCAUAUGGUCGACCUGCAGGCGGCCGCGAAUUCACUAGUGAUUAGAGUUUGAUCCUGGCUCAGAUUGAACGCUGGCGGAAUGCUUUACACAUGCAAGUCGAGCGGCAGCAUGGACUUCGGUCUGAUGGCGAGCGGCGAACGGGUGAGUAACAUAUAGGAACAUACCCAGUAAUGGGGGAUAACGCCGAGAAAUCGGUGCUAAUACCGCAUACGCCCUGAGGGGGAAAGCGGGGGAUCUUCGGACCUCGCGUUAUUGGAAUGGCCUAUAUCUGAUUAGCUAGUUGGUGAGGUAAAGGCUCACCAAGGCUUCGAUCAGUAGCUGGUCUGAGAGGAUGAUCAGCCACACUGGAACUGAGACACGGUCCAGACUCCUACGGGAGGCAGCAGUGGGGAAUUUUGGACAAUGGGCGAAAGCCUGAUCCAGCCAUUCCGCGUGAGUGAAGAAGGCCUUCGGGUUGUAAAGCUCUUUCG